GAGCGCAUGAGUGGAGGGAGAAGAGGGAGAAGCAGAGUCUCAAGAACAAUCUUGUCUUGAGGAGUGUUGAAAACAUGGUGGAGUGUGAUUUAUAUCUAGGAUUUGGGGUUCAAUUCCUACUUUUAUUUGAGUUGGCGUAGUGAUUAAUGAAGCAUCCUCACUUUCCCUCUUAACAUCACCAAAUCUGAGGUGCAUGCAAUUUAUUUUCAGGAUUUAGGUUUUAAUUCCCACUCCUCUUCUAUCAGGUUCCCAUGAUUCAAUUAAUUUUUAUGGCGAACGAUAAGAAUUUCGGCGAGUUCUUGGUGUUAUCGAGUGCCCGAACAGGUCUAAAGAGGGAGUUUGCAUUUUCCAUGUAGGCGCAAUCAGAGAUCUGUGGAUCUUUAGGACUUGUGCCAGCAAAAACAAAUAUGGGGUUCAAGGCGGUCCUAUCAACAAGAGGUCUAAGAAAUUUGGUUCCUCUGGGGUUCAGAGAGAUGAGCAGAAUUACGCGAAGCCGGUGCCAGAGCAUCGAUGUUGUCGAACCCAUUGUUUUGGAAGAUGUCAAGGGAAAGCAAGUGAAGGCUAUAAAAUCAAAAACAUAAAAUUAGAGGAGAAACAGGGGCUAUGGCUGCUAUGAAUAUAAACUCCUUCUCCGGUAGAUUCUGGAUUCUCCUGGCAUUGUUUGCUAUUGUGGAUUCUUCAUGCAACACCACUGACCAUGAGUUAUCUGUUGAUAUAUAUUGUUAAUAUUAUUCAUAUGGCUUCCGAUAAGUCUCUCUCUCUCUCUCUCUCUCUCUCACACACACACACAGACAUUUAAUGUUUAAUGAAUCAAAUCAUAACACGCACACACACACAGAGAUAUUUAAUGUUUAAUGAAUCAAAUUUACUCAAAAAAAUUCGAUUAAUUCUAGAAUAGAUGAUAUAAGAAUGAAGAAUAUUGUCAAUCGUUAUCUGUUGAUAUAUAACAGAUAAACACAGCCACUUGCAUAUGACGUAGUUUUAUUCCUAGAAAGUAGCCAUGGCAAGCCUUCUUGUGUUGGCACAGCAUCUUUAUAAUGUCUUGUUAUAGGAGCUUGUGAUGUUAACUAUUUGCUUAAUUUAUGUAAUAAAGAAAUUAGCUUAAUAAUUAAUCCUUGAUGACAUUUAGUUCACACUCUUCCAAACCGCCAAGGCUAAACCUGUGUUUCUAGUUUCCAUUGGUCAACGCAAUUAGUUUUCUCAUGGCCGUGGUAUUUAUUUUUUUAAUUAUUUUUCCCAGAUGCCACACUAAAAAAUCUGUUUGAUGAAAAGAGGCUUGUAUUAAAAAGAUAGAGGAUCUAAAAAUAACAAAGCAUAACCUCGAGUUGAAACCAGCGUUGAGGAAACUACUUUGAAAUUUCCUUGUAGCUCCUGUUGGACGAUACAGUAAAACCACAGUGGUAUUAUUUCCUUUUAAACCUUUUAAACUAAAAACCAAAUCUCAAAUUCAGUUCGUUGUUCUCUAUGGACAGCCAAGUGAGCAUGUCUUCCCCGAGUAUAUAUAGCUUUUGCCAGGCUCUGCUUUCCCCCAUAUCCCAACAACUAUCAACAAUUUCUCACUACCAUUGUCGUCUUUCAUGCUCAAUGUUCAGAAACUACCAUGUCUAGCAUGGCUGGUCAAGUUAUCAAGUGCAGAGCUGCAAGCCACUGUCGAUUGAAGAGGUAGAGGUGGUGCUGCCAACAGGCUAGAGAAGUGUGUCUCAAGAUUCUUUUCACAGCCCUUUGCCAUACUGAUGUUUACUUUUGGGAAGCCAAG